rnacentral:lncRNA from 1 species
GUGCUGAGGAUUGAACCUUGCACCUUAACCUGUGCUAGGCAAGUGCUUUACCACUGAGCUGCAGCCUCAGCCUCUGAUGUUUGAAUUUUAUCUGGGAUAAUCCAUUUCUGAACCUAUGCUGUGAGUGCUCUUUAUCAAUGAUGUGGUCUGUAAGGACAGAAGAAACUUUCUAAUUCUAUCUCAUGUAGCUUCAGCCCCCACCCCCCUGAAACAGAAUUAUAUUACAGCAGUAUUUCCCUGGACCCACAAGGUGUAGGUGAUUUUCCCCUGAAAGUUAUUAUUCCCAUGCUUGUAAAUAAGUACUCCUUCUAACGCAUAGUCAAACAAGGCUGCUUUUUUGUUAUUACUCAUCCUUUUCUCAAUUCUCACAGUAAACUGGUGUCUGAAUCUCAACCUAAUUGCCAAAAUCUUGGCCCCAUUAGUAUUUUCUGUCUGGUAAGUCCCAUUCAUCAGAGUCAACUGAAUUUCAAAGUCCUUCUAAAUGAUCUCUGGAAGGAAACAGCUCCUGGCAAUUAAAAAAAACAAUAAUUUAUAAUCAUCGUAUAUUGACUAAGGUUGGUCAUAAUAUUUAUAAAUAACCAUAGAAACACAUGACUAACAGGAUCUACACAGUUGCUUCCAAACCUCCUUCCAGCACCAACAGAAUCACAUAACACUAACAAUCUGAAAUGCCAGGUGAUGGAAAUAUUGCUUACAUAAAGAUAAACCUGCGGCACUGAUUUCUUCAUGGGUUACUUCACAGGCAGUGCAGCCUGUUUUGAAUUUCAGGGUUCUGUAUCCUUACAGCCUCCAGAUGACUGCGGAUUGAUGAAACCAUAGUUCAACCAUGCCUGCUUAGUUCAGAAAAGAGAUUUCAGAAAUGAGAAAUAUUUAACAUAGAAUUAUUUUGUGAUCCAUCCUAGAAGAUAAUUGAGGCAAGCUUUACAACUAAAAUAGUAGUCUUUCAUUCAAGGUCAAAAGGAAUGCAGUCAAUUCUCACAUAAAGAAUAAACAAAGACUGAAUGCUACCAGAGUGCUGUGGAGGCAAGUAUGGGUGUGUGUGUGUGUGGGGGGGGGAGGGCAGGUGCUAUUUCUGCCUAAUUACACUUGACCUAUGAAAUCAUGUUGGGAAGUGCUUUGUUCCUACAUCAUUUACCCAAGGAUGACUUCAGGAGGAAGGAAAUAAGAAUUGACUGGCUCUGGACUGUAAUAAGUGCAAACUGACUUUCUAUGAUCAGAAACAUUAACCCUCUUGCCUGUUUGGAUGCCGUAACGAGAUGUCCCUUG